GGACUACCCGGGUUUCUAAUCCUGUUUGCUCCCCACGCUCUCGCGCCUCAGUGUCAGUAUCUGUCCAGGUAGCCGCCUUCGCCACUGGUGUUCCUUCCGAUCUCUACGCAUUUCACCGCUACACCGGAAAUUCCACUACCCUCUACAGUACUCUAGUCACGCAGUUUCGCUUGCAGGUCCCAGGUUAAGCCCGGGGAUUUCACAAACAACUUACAUGACCACCUACGCGCCCUUUACGCCCAGUAACUCCGAUUAACGCUUGCACCCUCUGUAUUACCGCGGCUGCUGGCAC
rnacentral:rRNA from 1 species